rnacentral:rRNA from 1 species
UAGGGAAUCUUCCGCAAUGGACGCAAGUCUGACGGAGCAACGCCGCGUGAGUGAAGAAGGAUUUCGGUUCGUAAAACUCUGUUGUUAGAGAAGAACAGCGCAUAGAGUAACUGUUAUGCGUGUGACGGUAUCUAACCAGAAAGCCACGGCUAACUACGUGCCAGCAGCCGCGGUAAUACGUAGGUGGCAAGCGUUGUCCGGAUUUAUUGGGCGUAAAGCGAGCGCAGGCGGUCCAUUAAGUCUGAUGUGAAAGCCCCCGGCUCAACCGGGGAGGGUCAUUGGAAACUGGUUGACUUGAGUGCAGAAGAGGAGAGUGGAAUUCCAUGUGUAGCGGUGAAAUGCGUAGAUAUAUGGAGGAACACCAGUGGCGAAGGCGACUCUCUGGUCUGUAACUGACGCUGAGGUUCGAAAGCGUGGGUAGCAAACAGG